rnacentral:piRNA from 1 species
GUAGGUAUGGGGAGAGGACAGGGA